rnacentral:rRNA from 1 species
GACGAACGCUGGCGGCGUGCCUAAUACAUGCAAGUUGAGCGAUGAAGAUUGGUGCUUGCACCAAUUUGAAGAGCAGCGAACGGGUGAGUAACGCGUGGGGAAUCUGCCUUUGAGCGGGGGACAACAUUUGGAAACGAAUGCUAAUACCGCAUAACAACUUUAAACAUAAGUUUUAAGUUUGAAAGAUGCAAUUGCAUCACUCAAAGAUGAUCCCGCGUUGUAUUAGCUAGUUGGUGAGGUAAAGGCUCACCAAGGCGAUGAUACAUAGCCGACCUGAGAGGGUGAUCGGCCACAUUGGGACUGAGACACGGCCCAAACUCCUACGGGAGGCAGCAGUAGGGAAUCUUCGGCAAUGGACGAAAGUCUGACCGAGCAACGCCGCGUGAGUGAAGAAGGUUUUCGGAUCGUAAAACUCUGUUGGUAGAGAAGAACGUUGGUGAGAGUGGAAAGCUCAUCAAGUGACGGUAACUACCCAGAAAGGGACGGCUAACUUCGUG